UACAGAGGGGGCAAGCGUUGUUCCGAAUUACUGGGCGUAAAGGGCGCGUAGGCGGCUUUCUAAGUCAGGGGUGAAAUCCUGGAGCUCAACUCCAGAACUGCCUUUGAUACUGAAGAUCUUGAGUUCGGGAGAGGUGAGUGGAACUGCGAGUGUAGAGGUGAAAUUCGUAGAUAUUCGCAAGAACACCAGUGGCGAAGGCGGCUCACUGGCCCGAUACUGACGCUGAGGCACGAAAGCUAGGGGAGCAAACGGG
rnacentral:rRNA from 1 species